AUGUAUGUGUGCAUGUACAUGU
rnacentral:miRNA from 1 species